AGAAUCAACGCUGGCGGCGCGCUUAACACAUGCAAGUCGCACGAGAAAAGGAGCAAUCCUAAGUAAAGUGGCGCACGGGUGAGUAACACGUGGAUUAUCUACCUUUUAGUGGGGAAUACCUCUGGGAAACCGGAGACAAUACCGCAUAAGCCCGCAAGGGGAAAGCAGCAAUGCGCUGAAAGAGGAGUCCGCGGCCGAUUAGCUAGUUGGCGGGGUAAUGGCCCACCAAGGCGAAGAUCGGUA
rnacentral:rRNA from 1 species